rnacentral:rRNA from 1 species
GAUUGAACGCUGGCGGCAGGCCUACCACAUGCAAGUCGAGCGGAUGAAGGGAGCUUGCUCCUGGAUUCAGCGGCGGACGGGUGAGUAAUGCCUAGGAAUCUGCCUGGUAGUGGGGGAUAACGUCCGGAAACGGGCGCUAAUACCGCAUACGUCCUGAGGGAGAAAGUGGGGGAUCUUCGGACCUCACGCUAUCAGAUGAGCCUAGGUCGGAUUAGCUAGUUGGGGGGGUAAAGGCCUACCAAGGCGACGAUCCGUAACUGGUCUGAGAGGAUGAUAAGUCACACUGGAACUGAGACACGGUCCAGACUCCUACGGGAGGCAGCAGUGGGGAAUAUUGGACAAUGGGCGAAAGCCUGAUCCAGCCAUGCCGCGUGUGUGAAGAAGGUCUUCGGAUUGUAAAGCACUUUAAGUUGGGAGGAAGGGCAGUAAGUUAAUACCUUGCUGUUUUGACGUUACCAACAGAAUAAGCACCGGCUAACUUCGUG